UGAACGCUAGCGGCAGGCUUAACACAUGCAAGUCGAGGGGCAGCAUAAUGGAUAGCAAUAUCUAUGGUGGCGACCGGCGCACGGGUGCGUAACGCGUAUGCAACCUACCUUUAACAGGGGGAUAACACUGAGAAAUUGGUACUAAUACCCCAUAAUAUCAUAGAAGGCAUCUUUUAUGGUUGAAAAUUCCGAUGGUUAGAGAUGGGCAUGCGUUGUAUUAGCUAGUUGGUGGGGUAACGGCUCACCAAGGCGACGAUACAUAGGGGGACUGAGAGGUUAACCCCCCCACACUGGUACUGAGACACGGACCAGACUCCUACGGGAGGCAGCAGUGAGGAAUAUUGGUCAAUGGACGCAAGUCUGAACCAGCCAUGCCGCGUGCAGGAUGACGGCUCUAUGAGUUGUAAACUGCUUUUGUACUAGGGUAAACUCACCUACGUGUAGGUGACUGAAAGUAUGGUACGAAUAAGGAUCGGCUAACUCCGUG
rnacentral:rRNA from 1 species